CCCAAAAUCGGGACCAUCCCUAUAAAAUUGGGACAUCUGGUCACCCUAUGUAUUGUCAGACACCCCCGUGCUGGCGGGGUCUGUGUCUCAUGAGUUUUGGGGUCUGCCCAGGGCCCUGGUCUGUUUUUCCUGCAGGAUUCAGUUCACAGCCCCACCGGAGUCGCUGCUGAUUCUGGCCGGUAGGGAGAGUGGAUGGGCCAAUGGAAUCAGCCUUUGUCUGCCUGUCCCUGGGGGCUGCUGCGGGAGUCCAGGGCAGCUCGUUCUUCAGACUGAGGAAUCACGUCCACAUUUCGCUCCAGAUGGUCCCGUCUUCCAGGAGACUGGGAAGGGAAAUGGCUGUGAUGGAGCCAGCUCAGAUGCCGGUGACCUUCGAGGAGGUGGCUGUGUAUUUCACCCAGGGG